GUCAAGGACCUAGAAAACAGAGAAAAGGUUGCAAAACCCACAAUACCAGCCCAGAAGUGGAAGAAAAGAACAUCCAAAAAGACAUCAAGGAAGAGGACUGGCAGCAUUAAAAAUCAACCAAAAAUUGUGAAAGGCAAAAGAAAAUCUGGCAAGAAGUAAAACUUCCUUUGUCUAUAGCAAGAGUUGUCUGUCUUUAGUGUACAUUUCUAAAGGCAGUGGGGACCAUCUUAACAUGGGAGAAUUUUCUGGUUUUGUUUGUUAAGUGUUACAUCUGUGUCUGUGUUAUUGUAAACUUGAAACUAGGUUAGUAAAGUUGGUGUCAAGCAAUUUCUUACCUUCAUUACAUGAAUGGUUCAGCAAUGUUUGAGAGAUUGUACAAGUGUAGAUGAAAAGAUGUGUUUUUCUGAAUGAUUAAUGAUUAGUUUUCAUUGUUAUUUGUUUUCCUUUUGUAGUGAGAAAGUGUCUGUUUGUGAAUAGAAGGUGUACAUGUAGGUCUCAGUUCAAAGCUGAAGUGCUAUUUAUUUUUAAAAAGAGCUGUUCACAAAUAUAUUCAUGAUUUAUUCUUAAUGCAUGUAUAUAUAUAUAUAUACAUAAUCAUGUCCUCAUUCCAGUUUGCUAAGAUACAUGUAUAAUAAAUUGUUUAUAUAUGCUUUAUUUGCCCCCUAUACCCACCCACCCCUUUUCUCAUUUUGCAUCUUAUUCAAGAACGCAUUAUUGGGAUAAAUUCAUACCAGUCUCUUUGUACUUAUCUCUUCGCAUUUAAUAAUCACUCUACUUGACCAAAACGUACAGAGUGAAAUGUUAGAUAUGGCACAAUGUUUGACAUUGAAUGUUUAUAGGGUCACAUACCACAUCGAGCAUGUGUUUAAGUUUUAUGCAUUUUUGUUCAAAUUUAAAAAUGCUGUGAAAUCGAGGUAGAUUGAAUGACCAUUGGAGAAUGUGAGAGAUGUCCAAGGUUUUAGUAUGGAUUGCAUGUACGUGUAGUUGUUGACUUUAUGAUAGAAUUUUAGUUUUCGUAUUUUUCUUUUUGAGUUUAAGACAUCAGGUUUCAUAUUGGAAAUCACAAAGGGCAUACUUCACAGAUAUUUUUUUGGCAUCUUCCACAUCCAUAUCUAAUUUAUUUAAGUCCCAAUUUUCCACUUAAAUCAUAAAAAACGUUUUCUUUACAUUUUUUGGAAGAUUUUAAUGAUACACUAAUGUAUGAAUACAUGAAUCUAGUCCUCUUCAAAAACAUUUUAGAGGAAUAAUGAUUAGAACAUAAUUAGUGUACAUGUAGUGAAUUUAUGUAGAAACCUAUUUAACGAAGAUUCAGGGCAAUCUAUUUUUGUAAAUCUUUUUGUUUGGUCAGUAAAUCAAAAAAGACAUGUUUAUCUAUAAACUCUUAUCUUGCUCAUAGCACAAGCAAUUUGAUCAGCCUCUACGACAUCUUUGUAAUUAGAUUUAUUUUGUCUAGUCAAUUCAUUGCGCCAUACAGUUGAGCCAAUAUUGCUGUAAAAUGCCUUAGUGCAUUACCCUAUAAACUACUUGCCCCAUGAAAGCUGUUCAUCAUCUUUACCUACUGCAAUUAGAUAGUUCUCUCAGAUUAAAUAUUGUACUGUUCUUGGUUGAUUUUUUUCUGUUUUUGUUGUAACUUUUGGACUGGAUGACUAAGGUUGAUUGAUUUUACUGCAGUGAUUGAAUGAGAACCCAAUGUAGGGUUGAUACACAGAGUGGGGUUCAGUGCGAUUGUCGUUAGAUGCCAUCAUUUUUCUCCUCUUUUUUUUUUAAUUACUUAUACAGUAUGUGCAGAUUAAGUCAAUUGACAAUUGAUGAUGUGAUUUAUUAAAAUCUCUGAACUUU
rnacentral:misc_RNA from 1 species